GGGCGGUUAGCUCAGUUGGGAGAGCGCCAGAAUCGCACUCUGGAGGUCGGGGGUUCAAAUCCCCUACCGUCCA
rnacentral:tRNA from 1 species